GAGUUUGAUCAUGGCUCAGGAUGAACGCUGGCGGCGUGCUUAACACAUGCAAGUCGAACGGAACUCCUAUGAACGAGGUUUCGGCCAAGUGAAUAGGAUGUUUAGUGGCGGACGGGUGAGUAACGCGUGAGUAACCUGCCUUGGAGUGGGGAAUAACAUAGUGAAAACUGUGCUAAUACCGCAUAAUGCAUUUGGAUCGCAUGAUUCUGAAUGCCAAAGAUUUAUCGCUCUGAGAUGGACUCGCGUCUGAUUAGCUAGUUGGC
rnacentral:rRNA from 1 species